AUUGAACGCUGGCGGCAGGCCUAACACAUGCAAGUCGAACGAGUGGCGGACGGGUGAGUAAUGUCUGGGAAACUGCCUGAUGGAGGGGGAUAACUACUGGAAACGGUAGCUAAUACCGCAUACCAUCGGAUGUGCCCAGAUGGGAUUAGCUAGUAGGUGGGGUAAAGGCUCACCUAGGCCACGAUCCCUAGCUGGUCUGAGAGGAUGACCAGCAAAACGGGAAAUGAGACACGGUCCAGACUACGAAGGGAGGCAGCAGUGGGGAAUAUUGGACAAUGGGCGCAAGCGUGAGGCAGACAGGCCGGGUGUAUGAAGAAGGCCUUCGGGUUGUAAAGUACUUUCAGCGGGGAGGCGUUACCCGCAGAAGAAGCACCGGCUAACGCCGUGCCAGCAGCCGCGGUAAUUC
rnacentral:rRNA from 1 species